CAGCCGCCGCGGUAAAACCAGCACCUCAAGUGGUCAGGAUGAUUAUUGGGCCUAAAGCAUCCGUAGCUCGUUUUGUAAGUUUUCGGUUAAAUCCAUGCGCUUAACGUAUGGGCUGCCGGGAAUACUGCAUAACUAGGAAGUGGGAGAGGUAGACGGUACUCGGUAGGAAGGGGUAAAAUCCUUUGAUCUAUUGAUGACCACCUGUGGCGAAGGCGGUCUACCAGAACACGUUCGACGGUGAGGGAUGAAAGCUGGGGGAGCAAACCGGAUUAGAUACCCGGGUAGUCCCAGCUGUAAACUAUGCAAACUCAGUGAUGCAUUGGCUUGUGGCCGAUGCAGUGCUGCAGGGAAGCCGUUAAGUUUGCCGCCUGGGAAGUACGUACGCAAGUAUGAAACUUAAAGGAAUUGGCGGGGGAGCAC
rnacentral:rRNA from 1 species